UCGUGUGGACGCGGAUAUUUUUUGAGACGAGGAAAAAAAAGAUCGGAUUGGGAUCAGUGCAGAAUUCAAUAAUCCUGGAUGGACCGCAGCGAGUCCUUUUGCAGUUGAAUCCAUCAAAAUGCUAUGCAGACAUAAUGGAAAUAACAUUCACAUUGUAGAGCUUGGACAAAGUUCACACAGGCUCAGAGCAGGAAUUCAUCAAAGACAUGACUGUUGGGAUUACGGUUGUGGAUGACCAAUAUGAGCACCAUCAGUCUGCAGUGCCGUGGUUCAGGCUGCAGGACCCUGCAGAGGUUCCGGAGGUCAUGCAUUUGGGUGAGGGUACCCGAGACCCUCUGCUCAUACUCGGCCUGAACCUCCGUGUCCUCCUGCUCCUCCUCACUGCCCCAGGCCUCCUGCCAUGACUCCC